rnacentral:rRNA from 1 species
UGCGUAAUAGCUCACUGGUCGAGAGGUCCUGCGCCGAAAAUGUCCGGGGCUGAAACAUGACACCGAAGCUGAGGAACCGAAAGGUUGGUAGAGGAGCAUUCGUAAAGGGAAGAAGCUGUACCGGAAGGAGCAGUGGACGUUUACGAAGAGAGAAUGCCGGAAUGAGUAGCGAGAUGGAGGUGGGAAUCCUCCAGGCCGAAUAUCCAAGGUUUCCAGGGUAAAGCUGAUCUGCCCUGGGUAAGUCGGGGCCUAAGGCGAGGUCGAAGGACGUAGCCGAUGGACAACAGGUUGAAAUUCCUGUACUGCAUGAUGACAGAACUGUGGGGACACGGGCAGAAAGCCUGGGCCGGAAAUGGAAAAGCCGGUGCAAGCGGAGGAGCCGUGUAGGAGGAAAAACCCCUAUGCAGGGCAGAGCCGUGACGCGGAGCGAAAUAAAAGUAGCGAAGCAGGCGGGCUGGCCGUCAAGAAAAGCCGCUAUUGUUCAUCAUGUACCCGUACCGCAAACCGACACAGGUGGAUGAGGAGAGAAUCCUAAGGCCGGCGGAAGAAGUAUUGUUAAGGAACUCGGCAAAAUGACCCCGUAACUUCGGGAGAAGGGGUGCCAGGGAAACCUGGCCGCAGAGAAUUGGUCCAAGCAACUGUUUAGCAAAAACACAGGUCUAUGCAAAACCGCAAGGUGAAGUAUAUGGGCUGACGCCUGCCCGGUGCUGGAAGGUUAAGAGGAGAGGUUAGAGCAAUCGAAGCUUUGAAUCCAAGCCCCAGUAAACGGCGGCCGUAACUAUAACGGUCCUAAGGUAGCGAAAUUCCUUGUCGGGUAAGUUCCGACCCGCACGAAAGGCGUAAUGAUUUGGACGCUGUCUCGACAAUACAUCCGGUGAAAUUGAAGUACCAGUGAAGAUGCUGGUUACCCGCGCCAGGACGGAAAGACCCCAUGGAGCUUUACUCCAGUCUGAUACUGGGAUUCGGUGCUGCAUGUACAGGAUAGGUGGGAGGCUGAGAAUUAAGGACGCCAGUCUUUAAGGAGCCGCUGUUGGGAUACCACCCCUGCAGUAUUGGAUUUCUAACCUGCGGCCGUAAGCCGGCCGGGGGACAAUGUCAGACGGGGAGUUUGACUGGGGCGGUCGCCUCCGAAAGGGUAU